CCGAGAAAGCACCUUUGGGACAGAAGACUUGUUGCAUCUGCUGAUUCCAAGGAAGGAAUUUUCCUUUGUUUAGAAGAUCUCUGAGGGACUUUUCAUGGACAACCAUCAACAGCCACCAGACUGGAAUCUGCAAAGAAAUCUCCAUGUUGGUUUAAGCUGGGCCUUGGGAACAAAAUCAAAAAGAGAGAGAGAGAGAGAUUCUUUUCUUUGUAUCUCCAGAGAAUGCCUGUACUAGGACGGCCUGGCUUUUCAGCCGUAAAAGGAGGAAACAAGCUGCACAAGCUUUGGGGGCAUCAAAGCCAUCGGAGACAACGCUG